rfam:Ovis aries breed Texel chromosome 12, whole genome shotgun sequence.
AGGAUACCGCCCCACAGGCAGAUUCCCCCAGUGUCCAACCAGAAGAAAUCAGACCUUGGUGCCAGCCUCCACCUCUCAGGGCUUUUGGGUCACAUUUUGUUUUGCCUGAAAUGUGAUUUCUUAGUCUCUGGGUGGUCUGC